UACGAAGGGGGCUAGCGUUGCUCGGAAUUACUGGGCGUAAAGGGCGCGUAGGCGGAUAUCUAAGUUGGGGGUGAAAUCCCGGGGCUCAACCUCGGAAUUGCCUUCAAAACUGGAUAUCUUGAGUUCGGGAGAGGUGAGUGGAACUCCGAGUGUAGAGGUGAAAUUCGUAGAUAUUCGGAAGAACACCAGUGGCGAAGGCGACUCACUGGCCCGAUACUGACGCUGAGGCGCGAAAGCGUGGGAGCAAACAGG
rnacentral:rRNA from 1 species